rnacentral:rRNA from 1 species
GCAGCCGCCGCGGGAAUACGAAGGGUGCAAGCGUUACUCGGAAUUACUGGGCGUAAAGCGUGCGUAGGUGGUGGUUUAAGUCCGUUGUGAAAGCCCUGGGCUCAACCUGGGAAUUGCAGUGGAUACCGGAUCACUAGAGUGUGGUAGAGGAUAGUGGAAUUUCCGGUGUAGCAGUGAAAUGCGUAGAGAUCGGAAGGAACAUCUGUGGCGAAGGCGACUAUCUGGGCCAACACUGACACUGAGGCACGAAAGCGUGGGGAGCAAACAGGAUUAGAUACCCGAGUAGUCCCUGUCUCUUAUAC